CAUCCAUGAUGAAAGAUGAUGUUCGAAAGGUAUUCGGAUUCAAGAAUUCUGAAUUCAAGCCAAGAGAUAUUGCUGAGUAAUGACCAAUCAGAACCUAAAAUUCGAACCUAAAAUGAAAUAUAGUUAAACAAUAUUAUUGAAACCCCGUGUAACAAUUUUAUAACAUUGUAACACAAUGAUGAUUGGAAUGAAGGACUUAAAGAAAAUAAGGAAGUUUUUUUGUACAUGUACAUUGUAUUUGACACAGAAAGAAAGUAAAGUGUUGAUUACGAAGAAUGAUAUACAGUCGCCUAAUUGUGUCUUCCAUCUUCUGUUUCUGGUGCACUUUUUCACAGAAGGGGCCUUGUGUGGAGGAGAGGGAAGACGGAUGUUGCUCUGGAACUUCAUGGAAUAACAAUGAAAAAAGAUGUACAGAUUGUGUACCUGGAUAUUUCGGUGUAGACUGUCUGGAAACUUGUGAAUUUCCGUACUACGGCAUGCUUUGCGCAUUCUUGUGUCGAUGUAAUAAAACAAUCUGCAACUU